AUGCCUGCUACAGGGGAUUCUUUCCUCUGCCGUACAACAUCUCAGAGCGUCUUCAACAUUGCAACGACACUCUUCUUCAUUCGAAAUCAUCGUCACCGCCGACAUUACGUCGCCAGUACCCGUUUACUCCACUUUGUUUCCAACUUCACGAAUUUGGUUCGCUGCAACAAUAAACUCGAGCUAAGGACAGAAAUUGUAGAAGAAUCAAAGAAUUUUACCUACCAGAGAAUCGUCUGGUGCGUCUUCAAAAGGGACGUGGAUCGAAGAUAA